rnacentral:rRNA from 1 species
UUUUGGACAAUGGACGCAAGUCUGAUCCAGCAAUGCCGCGUGCAGGACGAAGGCCUUCGGGUUGUAAACUGCUUUUGUACAGAACGAAAAGGCUCUGGUUAAUACCUGGGGCUCAUGACGGUACUGUAAGAAUAAGCACCGGCUAACUACGUGCCAGCAGCCGCGGUAAUACGUAGGGUGCGAGCGUUAAUCGGAAUUACUGGGCGUAAAGCGUGCGCAGGCGGUUUUGUAAGACCGAUGUGAAAUCCCCGGGCUCAACCUGGGAACUGCAUUGGUGACUGCAAGGCUGGAGUGCGGCAGAGGGGGAUGGAAUUCCGCGUGUAGCAGUGAAAUGCGUAGAUAUGCGGAGGAACACCGAUGGCGAAGGCAAUCCCCUGGGCCUGCACUGACGCUCAUGCACGAAAGCGUGGGGAGCAAACAG